UGUAAAUGACUGAGCCUGCAAGACUCUGGGGAGCUGGGUGCUGCCGGUAACAUUUUAUUGUGGUGUGCCAUUUGAACCAUCUUCCAAGUGAGUGCAAAACCCAAUUUUUAAUUUUUUUUAAUUAAUUGUACUUGGAAUUAACUGUUGCUGUGUACUAAACAUCUUGUUACGAGCCCUGAAUAAAAAGAACAAAGCACACACUAUGUGUUCUGUGAGUGUGCCACCACUGCGUCACAUUCCUUGUCUUUUGCUACAGGCUUUUCAACAUGUUGAGGGAUGGGGAGACGUGGCUUGUGUAUGCAGGAGCCCUGUUCAGAGCAGGUGAGCACAGCACUUCCCUCAGCCCAGGUAUGGCAGCAGCUCACAUCUCCUCUUCUGUAUGACCAUAUUUCCAGUCAUUUGGCACUGCUAGGAUACCAGCUCCUUCUUCCAGCACAGGUGCCCAUGUUGCAUUCACAGCUCUGAGCUGCUGUCCUCUAGUACCAGCUUUACUUUUAGGCUAGGAUUUUUCUGAGCUGGGUGGAGUGCUGUUUUUCCUCUUCACCUUUCCCAAGCACCAUUCUGCAUCGCCAGCCUUUAGGCAGAGCUCACUUCCUUGAGGUCUGCAGGAACAAAGCAGCUUUUCUUCUUUCAGUGGCGACGUGAGUGCCCCGGGUCCAUGACACUCCAACUGCUUUCCUUGCAGUGCAGGCAGCUGUGCUGGUGGUACAAGUUCUGUUCAGGGAGCUUGGUUCCCAUUCUGGUACAUGUGCAGCUGCUGCUGCUUUUGGCUCAAGGUAAAGGUUACCUCAGUUUUACAUGUAAGCCCAAGUACAGCAGUGUCUCUAAGAAUUUAGUGCCCUACAUGAGCAGGAACUCAGUCUGACUUCUUUCAUCUUAGAUUUCAAAUCCCUGCAGUAGCAGCUCAUGAGUGCUGCACAACCAGCCUAUGUGCAUCCCCCAUGGAAAGGUACAGGAGAAUGAAUUCCCUACCGUGGACCCCAGCGAGGGGCUGCCCCAGCACUUACCAGCCAUCAGCUGUUCGUGCAGAGCAGAGCUGAACCAAGUAGUGCCAGGACCUUGUGCAUCUGAGGAAGCAGGCAGAUGGAAAAGGAAAUUGCACAAUAAGUUCAGGAGAGGAGCUCUUUGGCUUUGAGGCUGCGCACCCAGUUAGAGCAAGUAAUUCUUUUGUUGCAUCUGGAAGCUACUGCUCAGAGGAAAGCAGGUAAUUUCCAUGUAAAAGAACUGAAAUUACUAGAUUACUUCUUUCUUUUCUGUGGGACUUGUGCCUCCUUCCUGUUUAGAAAGACAAAACAGAAGGCUGGCCCUGCUACCUGCCUGUCUGGCAGAGAGGAAAGUGGAAAGAACAGGCACUGAAACAGAGUACAGAAUGCCAUUACCCGCACUAAUCAACUCCUGCAGAAGCAAGGCUUUCCCUGACAUUACGAGUCAAAAGGUACAUACACGUGUAAUUACAGCUAUCCAUUUUCAGCAUUCUAGGAUGAAAACGUCUGCUAUCUUUGUGUACAGAGUAUGCUAGCUCGGCUUUCACCUAUUCAUUUUAGUAGUGCCAAAAAGAUUACAGCCCCAUGUUCUGCAGCAAGAAGCAUCUUGCUGUAUGUCUGAAAUUUGUCUCCUUUGCUUUCUGAUGAUUUUAGCAGAGAAAAUGGUAGAACUCAGAGACCAGUGCACAAGGGCAAAAAUAGCUUACUUGUAAAUAAGGCAUAGAUAUUUGCUGUCAUAAAAACAGUAGACACACCAGAAAAGCAAGUUACGUCAACAGGUCUCACAAGGUGAAAAGGCAGCCAGGUUUUCCAAACCACUCUGCAUCCACAUUUCAGUGCGCACCUGAAACACUUGCUAUGUUUCUAUCUGACUACUUACUAAUGAAGGAAGUUGUAUUUAGAAGGGUGCCACCUUUGCUGAAGCUCAUUCUUCGUGCUGUAAAGUUGGUGUUCAAUUUCUGUCUCCCAGCAAGCUCUUUAGCAGCCUGAAAAAUUAAGCAUGGACUUACUGUCUCAUGGGAGAUACUGCGUAAGUGAACUUGGGCACAGGAAAAUAAAAAGAACAAAGCUCAAACACCUCUGAAAAACCUGCACUCAUAACAUUGCUCUGCCAAAUGCAACUCCCAGAGGCACCUGUGCUGAAAGAACUGAAGAAAAAAGCAGAACUGUCACCCACCAGUGGAACUGUUUUGCAGGGAAAGAAAAAGAGGAGAUAAGUGGAGUUCCCUGAUUGCUGUCGUCUGGGAGCACGCACUGUGCCAGCUCCCAUAUGCACCCUACCAGGAAGCAGAGAAUGCGCCUGCCUGCCUAUCUCCAGUAGCGGCUGGGGAGUUAUGACUGUCUGCACACAUUGUGCGCCACUGAUGGGUAUGAGCCCCUUGAGCUGUGUACGGUACCAAGCAGCAGGAGGACCAAUGUAGAAAAUUACAGCACCCAUGAAUUCCAGUAUAGCUUAACAAUUCUUCUGUGAAUUUAUUAGCCAGCUAUACUGAGCAUACUCAAAAUCAACAACACAAAUGCUUCUAAGGACACUUCAUAAUCACAAAAAUAGUAGAAACAAAAAUCUGUGAACAAUCUGAAAGAUAGGAAAAAAAGUGCCUUUCCACAGCAGUUGCUUUAAAAAUGCACACAAUGGUAUAACCUUAUUGCUCAAAAAAAAACUAGUCUGAAAUACCAAAAUAAUUUCCAGAGGUGCUGACAGAUUUCAGAAAGGGAUAUGAAACAGGAAAGCAGAGACAGCACCAUUGGUUUCUCUUUUCAUGAUGCACUUAUUUAAAUUUAUAUAGUUAUAGAUGUGUAAUUUUCAUUCUAAUUGACAAACUUUUACCUAUUGAUAAAUUAUUCACAAAGACAUUUAUUUUAUUAUUUAGAUUUGUUUAAAAAACUAUAAAAAAGGAACAGUGGAUCCUCUAACAAUAUUUCUAUCAGCAUGAAUUUCUCUAACAAGAACUUAGCUUGUCUCUUAUCUUACACAUUUGAAGACACUGUCAGGUUAAACUACUGCCUUUGUUUCACUUUUGGGGGGAAGGAAAGCGUGUAAUAAUAUUUGCUUUUGGAAAAAAGGUAAACAAGAAUAAAAUCCUUUUGACAUCUGA